rnacentral:sRNA from 1 species
AAGAAGUGCUGGGAGAACAUCAAGGCUCGGACCAAAAAAAUUAUGGCCCAUGAAAGGAGAGAGAAAGUGAAACGAAGCGUCAGCCCUCUCCUGAGUACCCACGUCCUAGGGAAGGAGAAGAUCGCCAGCAUGCUGCCGGAGCAGCUCUACUUCCUGCAGAGCCCCCCGGAGGAGGAGCCCGAAUACCACCCCGACGCCUCAGCCCAAGGCAGACGAUCCUGGAGAAGCAAAUUAUGAUCAAAAGUUUGCUUACUGAUCAUUUGACCAAGGUUAAGUCCAGGAAGCCAGUUGGGUAACCAUAGUGGUUUAUGUUAUGAACCUCAUGCAUCGAUUUCCAGUGUGGGAACCUUGUGUCUGAGUUUUGAUCCCUGAGUUCCCAAGCCAGGGUACCUCCUAGCAGACAGUUUAUGGGGGCACUGUCAGCUCUCUCUCUUAUCACUCCUCACUGCUGCUUCUGUAGUGCAUGGGCCCCCACUGCUAAUUAAUGGUGUCCUUGUUUUGGAGAUGUUUAUAGCUUUAGCCAGUUACUCUGUUCCUCUCCACCUUGCUGGCUUCAGAGCCAUUCAGCUUCUGUGAGGCUGUGGAGGAGUGUGCUGGGGGAGGGAGGGAAUGGAUCAGCAGGGCUGCUCUUUACAUUGCUUAUGUUCCCUGGCAGAUAUUGCUGAGGACCAUGCUGGUGUGAGCUGCCUUCUGUUCAUUUUGCAAACCUGUGAUCUAGAUUAUUGUGUAUUGAAUACAUAGGGUUAUUCUUAGGGGGCCUGGACAGUCUUGUUUCUCCAUUUUCAAAUUCUGUGGUGGGAUCUAGGAAAGUUCAUUCCACAAAUUUUUUUCUCUUUCUUUUUGGAAGAAAUGAUGUAAUUCAUUUACUCAUAAACGUAAUUUAUAAAUUUUCAGCAAGAAGGGAAUAAAGGUACAUUCUCAGUGUUUUCCUUAUAGUGACAUUUAAUAGUGACUCAAGUAUAAAGGGAUUUAUUUUAAAUUGGAUGUUUGUACAUAGAUGACACUGGGGACUUCCCUUUUUGCUGGUGAUUAUUAAAGCAUAGCCAAAUGCUCCUUGCUCCUGUGUCCAGGUCCCAUCUGGAGGGUGGUGGAGAACCUUGGUGCUUUGUCAUUUGGGAAGUGUGUCCAAAGGUGAUCUGUUAAUACAAGUAGUAGGGUACUGGUACUCUUUCUAUACAGUAAAACAACUUUGAAUUCAUUUCACUCAUUUCGCAUUUCAAUUCUCUUUCAAGAAAGAAAAAGAAGCCUGGAAUUGUCAAUCAUCCUUUCUGGGACUUGGUGGGAAAAAGAAUCAUUUGCUGUUUCAAAUAGAGAACUGUGCGAUGAUGAGAAAGAGUUCAUACAUUUUCCAGUAUGUGAGGGGACCUCUCAACCUGAACCCUCGUGUUCAGCUGUCAGAAUAACAGCCAAUAAAAACUACAGGAGCAAAACCUCUCAGGAAGGUGCUUUAAAAAAGAUGCAUGAGGAAGAACACCAUCAACAAAUGUCCAUCUUACAACUGCAACUGAUACAAAUGAAUGAGGUGCAUGUGGCCAAAAUCCAGCAGAUAGAGCGAGAGUGUGAGAUGGCAGAGGAGGAACACAGGAUAAAAAUGGAAGUUCUCAAUAAAAAGAAGAUGUAUUGGGAAAGAAAACUACAAACUUUUACCAAGGAAUGGCCUGUUUCCUCAUUUAACCGGCCCUUUCCCAAUUCGCCCUAAGACUUUGGGGGUGGCUCUCUUGUAAUUAAUCUGUGUUGGCAAAGAAUGUCUGGAACAUGGACUUGCGGUCAGUAACCUGUAACAGAGCGACAACUAGGAAAAUUAGAGUGGUAGUAGUCACUUAUUUAAGAAUUCAUUCAGGUAAACAGCUGCACCCUCUGUACCCCUUAAGUGGCAAAGAAGCUGUUAUAGUCUUCUGAAAAUUAUCACUAUGAGUGCUAUAAUUCUGAAUAUAAUGUCUCUUAAUUAGAAUUCAUACAAG